UGUUAUAAAAUUCGUCCAUUUUUACUGUUACAAAACCGGCGUAGCUGACAGAAUAACUAGACAAUUACACGUUACAUGCCAUGUGUACCUUGUGCCAACAUACAGAGAUAAGUUUUGACUAUAGUAGAAAUAGAUAACAUUUUUAACA
rfam:Gossypium raimondii Chr10_contig_38, whole genome shotgun sequence.